rnacentral:rRNA from 1 species
UACGGAGGGGGCUAGCGUUGUUCGGAAUUACUGGGCGUAAAGCGCACGUAGGCGGCUUUGUAAGUUAGAGGUGAAAGCCCGGGGCUCAACUCCGGAACUGCCUUUAAGACUGCAUCGCUAGAAUUGUGGAGAGGUGAGUGGAAUUCCGAGUGUAGAGGUGAAAUUCGUAGAUAUUCGCAAGAACACCAGUGGCGAAGGCGGCUCACUGGCCCGAUACUGACGCUGAGGCACGAAAGCGUGGGGAGCAAACAGG